UAGGGAAUCUUCGGCAAUGGGGGGAACCCUGACCGAGCAACGCCGCGUGAGUGAAGAAGGUUUUCGGAUCGUAAAGCUCUGUUGUUAAGGAAGAACGAGUGUGAGAAUGGAAAGUUCAUGCUGUGACGGUACUUAACCAGAAAGGGACGGCUAACUACGUGCCAGCAGCCGCGGUAAUACGUAGGUCCCGAGCGUUGUCCGGAUUUAUUGGGCGUAAAGCGAGCGCAGGCGGUUAGAAAAGUCUGAUGUGAAAGCCCACGGCUCAACCGUGGAGGGUCAUUGGAAACUAAUAAACUUGAGUGCAGGAGAGAAAGGUGGAAUUCCUAGUGUAGCGGUGAAAUGCGUAGAGAUUAGGAGGAACACCGGUGGCGAAAGCGGCUUUUUGGCCUGCAACUUACACUGAGGCGCGAAAGCGUGGGGAGCAAACAGG
rnacentral:rRNA from 1 species